GUGCUCCCUUUGGCAGCAAAUAUACUAAAAUUGGAACAAUGCAGAGAACAUUAGCAUGGCCCUGCGUAAGGAUGACACGCAGAUUUGUGAAGCAUUCCAUAUUUUU